GUCUUUUUGAUAAUAAUUUAAAGUCUAACCUGCCCAAUGAAUUAUUUAAUGGCCGCAGUAUUUUAACUGUGCAAAGGUAGCAUAAUAAUUAGUUUUUUAAUUGAGAACUGGUAUGAAUGGUUGGACGAGGAAAAAGCUGUCUCGAUUUAAUUUAAAUUAGAAUUUUAUUUUUAAGUUAAAAAGCUUAAAUAAAUUUAAAAGACGAGAAGACCCUAUAGAGUUUGAUAUGCUUAGUUACAUUUUUAGUAUAAGGAAUAAAAUUUCUUUUAUGUAUUAUACAUAUUUAAUUGGGGUGAUUAAAUAAUUGAAUUAACUUAUUUUUUAUUAUACCAUUGAUAUAUGUUUAAUUGAUCCAUUUAUUAUGAUUAAAAGAUUAAAUUACCUUAGGGAUAACAGCGUAAUUUUUUUUUAAAGUUCUUAUUGAAAAAAAAGUUUGCGACCUCGAUGUUGGAUUAAAA
rnacentral:rRNA from 1 species